AUGUGACGGUUCCUGGUAGCAUAACCUUUCGAAAGGAAGGCUAAUACCGCAUAACACCAUGGUUACCACGGUAAUUAUGGUCAAAGCAGCAAUGCGUCUGUGGAGAAGCCUGCGUCCGAUUAGGUAUGGAACUGAGACACGGUCC
rnacentral:rRNA from 1 species